UACAGGGUCCUUUUCAAAAGAGUGAUAAAUAUUCUGGCAACACCAUUGAAGAUGAUGAGUUCAGUGUCUCCACACUACUAGAGAAGGCCAAUGCUAAUCUUGGAAAGAACUUGGAUGAGCCUCUAGUGCUGUUUGGAGACAUAGCAGUGCCAACAGGUCUAGGGAAUGCUGACCCCUGCACAGCACGAGGUUGCCUGUGGCCUAAAGCCCCCGACGGCAAUGUAUAUGUGCCAUACCGCAUCUCCAGGC